AUUGAACGCUGGCGGCAGGCUUAACACAUGCAAGUCGAGCGGAGUGAUGGUGCUUGCACUAUCACUUAGCGGCGGACGGGUGAGUAAUGCUUAGGAAGCUGCCAUUUAGUGGGGGACAACAUUCCGAAAGGAAUGCUAAUACCGCAGACGUCCGACGGGAGAAAGCAGGGUAUCUUCGGACCUAGCGUUAAAGGAUGAGCCUAAGUCGGAUUAGGUAGUUGGUGGGGUAAAGGCCUGCCAAGGCGACGAUCUGUAGCGGGGCUGGGAGGAUGAUCCGCCAAACUGGGACUGAGACACGGCCCAGACUCCUACGGGAGGCAGCAGUGGGGAAUAUUGGACAAUGGGCGGAAGCCUGAUCCAGCCAUGCCGCGUGUGUGAAGAAGGCCUUUUGGUUGUAAAGCACUUUAAGCGAGGAGGAGGCUACUAGUACUAAUACUACUGGAUAGUGGACGUUACUCGCAGAAUAAGCACCGGCUAACUCUGUGCCAGCCGCCGCCGUAACAC
rnacentral:rRNA from 1 species